CAAUCAUGAUAAAAAUGAUGAUCAUGAUUUCAUGGUGAUAAAGAUUAUAAAAAAAUAAAAACUAAAUCUAUUAUCUUCUUCCCAUUUUUCCUUUCUCAUUCAUAAAUUUUGAAAGAAUGAUGAGCAUAAUUUCAUCAUGAUGAGGAUAACGAUCAUCAAAAAAAUCCAAGGAAUUUGAGAACUUCAUGAGCUUAGCUGAGAAAUUACGUUCCGACUAUGAUUUUGGUCAUACCUUAGAUGCUAAACUUUUACGAAAAGGAGAUGCAGUGAGUGGUCCAACAAUCAGGUUGUCGAGGCCUUUUGAUGAGCUUUUUGUUGAUUCUCAGGAUUUGCAGAAUCAGCGAUAGGGGAAUUGGAAUCCGAAAACAUUUUUGGGGGAAAUUCAGGGUAACGAAUGUAUGUGUUAGAACAAAAUUAGGGGAAAUCUGGGAGUUCUUCAUCUGGCUCGUCAUGAAUCGAUCUUCAUCCUAAGAAUCGAAUGAGUAAUUUUCAUUGUUGCGGAUUUGGUUGAAUUAAUUAAAGCAGGAGAUGCACCAACUGAGAGACUACAAACCUCUCGAGCUUCAUCAAUUUGUGGCCACAAAAAACAUUUACUUAUCUGUAAGAAGCACUCCCCUGAGAGUUGGCGUGGACAUCUUCCCGAGGUAUCAUUUUGUCCUUUACGAAUUUAAUUGUGCCGAUACUCUAAACGUGAUCAGAUAAAGCCUCUAUAUCGUGUUUUUAAUUAUCUCUUUUUCACUGUCAUGUGUAGAUAUUCUAAAUUGCCAAUUGAAAUAGUGGGUUUUAGGUAGCCAACUUGAGGAUUGUUGAAAUAGAAUCAACUCCUCCUGGCACAAAGGAGUUAAUGCAUCUGUUGACUCAUUUUCAAAAUUUGAUUCUGAAUUCCCAUUACUUGUUACUACUUAAAAAUUGAUAUUGGAUUGCAUUCGUAGUUGUAGUCCUGAUUAACUAUAGGGAUAAGAUACAAUUUACAGCGUUUGGUACCUCAAUUCCUUUGUGCAUGUUCACGCCGUUCUCCUGGAUCCUUCUUGCUCUGGUGCUAGAACUUUUGUUGAAAAAUUGGAUCAUGUUCUUCCAUCAUAUACUGCAGCCCUUGGGUCCGUAGUGUUGGGAGCUUCGUAUAACCAUCUUUCGGCACAAGUAGCAAUGAUGCUUUUGGCAAUACCAACAUAAUAUGUGGUUGUUAUUAUCUACCUGUUACAUUUGCAACAAAAUAACUAGUGUAUCAGUGUAGCGCUCAUCCAGAAAUAUCAAUUGCAUCCUCUUAUAGAUGUUAGUCACUUAUUUGCAAAAGCAGGCAAAAAAGUUCAUUUUACUCACCUUUGGAUUCAGUUGACGGCAGCUUGGGCAUGGGUGAGCAUGGGAUGCUGGAUCUUUAAUUGGUAACUGAAAUUGUCUCCGCUCCUCCUGCUCUUGUUGUCUCUGGGCUUCCUGCCGACGCUUCCUGCUCAAUUCGUCUGCCUGUCGCUCUUGCUGUUGCUGACUAAUGGUUUCAGGGUCCAUAUCAAAAUAGCCACAACAGAGAGGUUUUAAUUUUUCGUACGCCUUGCCACAUUUAUAACAGAAGCUCUCCUAACAAUUCACGCAGCGCAUGCGGUUACAACCAUAACUCCGGGAGAUUGCGACACGGCAUUUAGGGCAUCUUUUAGCAAUAUGCAUUAUUUCCUCCAUAUUAAGACUCUUAUUUAUCUCGUCCAGCUGCUUACGCCGUUCCUCCUUAUUCAUUCUGGUCUGACGUUUCUGCACAGGAUGAGUUAUCUGUAAGAGCCGACGAUUGUACGCACGUAAUAAUCAAACAAACUUAGAAAUAGAUAUAUUCUGGAUCAAGUCUCAUAUAUAUAUGUGUUACCUGCAAGAACUUAAGCUUCUCUUCUAGCGUCAUACAUGGAACUCCAACAUGAAGUCGAUUUCCACAAAGACCACAGAAGGUAAAGAAGCACCUGGGACACUCGGCGAGGUUGUCCUCAUCCUCUAAACAAGCCAUAUCACAUCUAGGGCAAUAAACUAUAUCAGACAUUGUAUCAAGUGUCUUCUGAAACAAGAGAGACUCCCAUUUUUCAAAUCUUUCAUCUCCAAUAAAGCUUUUAACCGAACCAGGUGGAACUAGUUCCCUGCAUUUUAUUUGCGGACAUAGUAUUGCCACGCCUUCCUUUGCGUGAAUGGUUGAAUAUGUCUCCAUGCAAUUGCGACAGAAGAAAUGCUUACACGGCAAUCUUACAAAGCUAGUGCCUAUGAAAAGUAGAUAUAUAUAUGUCACAUCAAUUCAGUGCAACAUGGUAAAUCAUAUAACAAACAAGCUAGAAUUUGGAUCACAAAUUUGAGAUACCUGGAUAAUCACUUAGACAAAUGCAGCAUUCUUGUAGGUUUCGGCAGAAUCCCUCGUUGAGUUUAUCUUCAUUAAAAUUGAGUAUCGAACGUAUAUCUACAUCUAGAGAGACACUUUCUGAAAUGGCACGUCUAUCUACAGCAGCAUUAUCAGCUGCCUUUCCUAACGGUAUUCCAAUAUUAUUAUCAAACUCUAGGUGGGAGAGAGAUGAAUUACAUAGCCAAUCCACCCAUGGAUACACAAUUUCCUUCCCUGAUUGAUCGGUCCAAAUUGUAUCCAACAUUUGGCACAAGCUAGAUAUCCUCAUAGCGUCCAGCCAUUGAACAGAGAUGGUAAAAGAAGGAGCACCAUGGCUUGGGUAUGCGUUCGGUAAUAAACAUGUUAAUACGAUUGGGGGAAGAUACUCAACUUUGAAGGUGGAGUAAAAGAAUCCGUUUGAAUUAUCACCAGCUGUUGCCAAUGCUUCACCGUAUAUUCCGCCAAAUUUGAUUUCUCCAUCAAAUGAGCCAGUAUACACUAUAAGUUUAUCGGAAACAUCAAUAUGUAUAUUUAUCUGCAUGCAGAGGAAACAAACUUGGAUUAUUCAGAAAAUAUCUGCAAUGCGGAUUGAUUAAUCAAACUGGCAUGGUAGUUGGAAAAUUGACCUGGAAAUAACAUAAGCCGUCUUGUCUGUCAAGUAGAAUGAAAUUUUCACCAUAUAUAGCCUUCAUUGCCAGUAUCUGCAUGCAUGCAUGCAUUCAAAUUAAGAAGAACAUGUAUAUAUUCGAAAAUGCUAUAUGACCGGCUGAAUAACAGCGGAUCCGAUGGGUCAAACUGACUUGUCACAGAGAUAUUCAUACUACUUUAACCACAUCACCGGGGUAAAAUAAAGAAGACUGAAAUUCAUCGGACUUUUUCUGAUAUUCAGAUGCACUAACUUCUGGUAAUCAGAUGCAUUAACUUAUAUUAUUAUUUCCGUAUUCAUCUAUUCCCUUUACUAUUAUUACCUCCAAAGAUGAUGAAUCAUAUGCAUGAUCAUUAUUAAUCGUCCGUUCGUAACAGUAUUUUGUUCGUUUAAUUUCUUUUAAAACAUGAAUCAUACAACAAAUCAUACAACGAACAUACAAUAACAAGGAACAAAUGGAAUUUGGAGUUUAUUACUACUUGUCUGUUUGUUUAUUAAUUAAGUUAAUGGAUGCCGAUUUAAUUAACCACAAUUAAACUUUGUGAUUUUUUCAGUAGGUAAUAACAAGAUUAAAUAUGAAGUAGUUUAGAACAAUGAAACAUGACUGAAUGAUUUGAUCCCUGAAUAAUUUGAUCAUGAUCAAACUUUUUUUGCUGGAAGGUGUUUUUAACCUUUUUGAAUUAAUCAAAAUUGUCACGUGAUCAUGAAAAUCAACUAUCUCUAGAACAAUCCCUAAAACUCAAUAAUCAUGAUGAAUGAAAUGGGAGUGAUGAUUGUGAUGGACAUGGUGAUGGCGAAUGAUCUAUCUUAACGAUGGCUGGUGAUGGUUGUCAUAGGGUAAUGGUGUUAAUGGGGAAGUGGUAAGGCUUGCAUCAAACAACUGUAGGGUCGGAGAUUUGAUAUCGUAAAUUUGGUAUGUGUUUUCUUCUAAAUGACGUGGUUAAAACAGUAUAACUCUCUUUCCGCCAAAUCAUUUGGACACAUCGGAUCGGCUGCUAUUCAGCUGGUAUUCCACUGGUCAUGUAGCACGAUUGAUAUAUAUUGACGUGAAAA